GGAAGUGCGGGUGCUAUACAUGCAGUCGAGCGGAUUGAUGGGAGCUUGCUCCCUGAUAUCAGCGGCGGACGGGUGAGUAACACGUGGGUAACCUGCCUGUAAGACUGGGAUAACUCCGGGAAACCGGGGCUAAUACCGGAUAACUCAUUUCCUCGCAUGAGGAAAUGUUGAAAGGUGGCUUUUACCUACCACUUACAAAUGGACCCGCGGCGCAUUACCUAGUUGGUGAGGUAACGGCUCACCAAGGCAACAAUGCGUACCCAACCUGAAAGGGUGAUCGGCCACACUGGGACUGAAACACGGCCCAAACUCCUACGGGAGGCAGCAGUAGGGAAUCUUCCGCAAUGGACAAAAGUCUGACGGAGCAACGCCCCGUGAGUGAUGAAGGUUUUCGGAUCGUAAAGCUCUGUUGUUAGGGAAAAACAAGUGCCGUUCGAAUAGGGCGGCACCUUGACGGUACCUAACCAGAAAGCCACGGCUAACUACUUGCCAGCAGCCGCGGUAAUACGUAGGUGGCAAGCGUUGUCCGGAAUUAUUGGGCGUAAAGCGCGCGCAGGUGGUUCCUUAAGUCUGAUGUGAAAGCCCACGGCUCACCCGUGAAGGGUCAUUGGAAACUGGGGAACUUGAGUGCAAAAAAGGAAAGUGGAAUUCCAAGUGUACCGGUGAAAUGCGUAAAUAUUUGGAGGAACACCAGUGGCGAAGGCAACUUUCUGGUCUGUAACUGACACUGAGGCGCGAAACCGUGGGGAG
rnacentral:rRNA from 1 species